GCAAAUAAUGAGAGUCCCUGCUGUUCCACAUCCUCACCAGCAUUUGCUGUCAUCGGCAUUCUAGAUUUUGGCCACUCUAAUAGAGACCAGAGACAAACUUGGAACUCUUCCAAAAGACCCAAAUGUGAGCUCCCUGAGAAAAGGGACUAUGUUUUCAGCAUUGUCUCUCCAGUGCCUAAACAAUGCCUGGCAUUUAGGAGAUGAUUUCAGAUCUGUUCCCAAAGCUACAGAGUGGAUGUGCUCCGUGACCAGAAAAUGGAUUUGAAGAGCCCAAAG